rnacentral:rRNA from 1 species
GGACCAGACUCCUACGGGAGGCAGCAGUGGGGGAUAUUGCACAAUGGGGGGAACCCUGAUGCAGCGACGCCGCGUGGGUGAAGGAGUGCUUCGGCAUGUAAAGCCCUAUCGGCAGGGAAGAAGCAAGACGGUACCUGACUAAGAAGCCCCGGCUAACUACGUGCCAGCAGCCGCGGUAAUACGUAGGGGGCAAGCGUUAUCCGGAUUUACUGGGUGUAAAGGGGGCGCAGACGGCAAUGCAAGCCAGGAGUGAAAGCCCGGGGCCCAACCCCGGGACUGCUCUUGGAACUGCAUGGCUGGAGUACAGGAGGGGCAGGCGGAAUUCCUAGUGUAGCGGUGAAAUGCGUAGAUAUUAGGAGGAACACCGGUGGCGAAGGCGGCCUGCUGGACUGUGACUGACGUUGAGGCCCGAAGGCGUGGGGAGCAAACAGGAUUAGAUACCCGAGUAAG